AAAAUGAAAAGAAAAAANAAUGCAAAAUGCCAAAUAUGCUUGCGCUCCACUUUCUUCAAAUUUGCAAAAUCAAAAAACAAUUCAUGCUCCACUUUCUUCAACAGUUCAACUGUUGAUUUAGAUGCAAAAUAAAAAAUACUUUGCUGCACCGCUCAUUGUCACAAUCUCUGUUUCAUGUUCCAAGUUUGUAGCGACACAUUCGCGAAGCCGCAAGUGAAGCAGGAGUUCAACACAGAUCUGACCAAUGCCAGGUGAUGCGCUCUGCCGUGAUACCAUCAGAAAUCAAGACGAGAUGAGAGUGUUGUUGCAACAAUGAUCGAUGAUGACGAGGAAGAAUUGGAAUGGAGCAGAAUUUGACCAGAAAACAAAUGUAAAAUAACAAAUUAAGCAAACAAAACUCCAAACAUAGAAAAUCAAAUUAGAAAACCUAAAUUUUCCGUCGGAUUUGGCAGAUGGCGGAGGACAGAGAUGAGGAACGGCGGUGAGUAGAGCAGAGAUCUACGUCAUCGGCGCCGCUGCCCCGCAGCCGCUGGAGAGAGAGAGAGCUCCGGUGACUUCUGCAAACCACGAGAUCUACGUCCUCGGCGCCGCUUCCGUGCAGCCGUUAGAGAGAGAGAGCUCCGAUGACUUCCGCUCGGCACCGCAGGAGGCGGUGCUAGGGCACACCGCGACGGCUUGCUUCACAACACACAGCAGGGAAGAAGAUCAACGGUUGGGGGAGAUCGACGGCGGAGUUCUGGCCGUCCGUCGCAGGAGAGAGAGAUAGAGAGAGAAAGAGAGAGGAUCGAAGGUGAAUCCGUGAAGGUGCUGCUGUGACUUUGACCGGCCAUUUUUUUUUAAUUUUAAAGGGGUAAUUUUGUCCAUUUACAACAAAAUUUACCAAUUUUUAAUAUUUUUAUUUCAUAGG
rnacentral:lncRNA from 1 species